rnacentral:rRNA from 1 species
UGGAAAGAUGAAUCAAAGAAGGUAAUAAUCCUGUAGUCGAAAAUGUUGUCUCUCUUGAGUGGAUCCUGAGUACGACGGAGCACGUGAAAUUCCGUCGGAAUCUGGGAGGACCAUCUCCUAAGGCUAAAUACUCUCUAGUGACCGAUAGUGAACCAGUACCGUGAGGGAAAGGUGAAAAGCACCCCGGAAGGGGAGUGAAAUAGAACCUGAAACCGUGUGCUUACAAGUAGUCAGAGCCCGUUAAUGGGUGAUGGCGUGCCUUUUGUAGAAUGAACCGGCGAGUUACGAUUUGAUGCAAGGUUAAGCAGUAAAUGUGGAGCCGUAGCGAAAGCGAGUCUGAAUAGGGCGUUUAGUAUUUGGUCGUAGACCCGAAACCAGGUGAUCUACCCUUGGUCAGGUUGAAGUUCAGGUAACACUGAAUGGAGGACCGAACCGACUUACGUUGAAAAGUGAGCGGAUGAACUGAGGGUAGCGGAGAAAUUCCAAUCGAACCUGGAGAUAGCUGGUUCUCUCCGAAAUAGCUUUAGGGCUAGCCUCAAGUGAUGAUUAUUGGAGGUAGAGCACUGUUUGGACGAGGGGCCCCUCUCGGGUUACCGAAUUCAGACAAACUCCGAAUGCCAAUUAAUUUAACUUGGGAGUCAGAACAUGGGUGAUAAGGUCCGUGUUCGAAAGGGAAACAGCCCAGACCACCAGCUAAGGUCCCAAAAUAUAUGUUAAGUGGAAAAGGAUGUGGCGUUGCCCAGACAACUAGGAUGUUGGCUUAGAAGCAGCCAUCAUUUAAAGAGUGCGUAAUAGCUCACUAGUCGAGUGACACUGCGCCGAAAAUGUACCGGGGCUAAACAUAUUACCGAAGCUGUGGAUUGUCCUUUGGACAAUGGUAGGAGAGCGUUCUAAGGGCGUUGAAGCAUGAUCGUAAGGACAUGUGGAGCGCUUAGAAGUGAGAAUGCCGGUGUGAGUAGCGAAAGACGGGUGAGAAUCCCGUCCACCGAUUGACUAAGGUUUCCAGAGGAAGGCUCGUCCGCUCUGGGUUAGUCGGGUCCUAAGCUGAGGCCGACAGGCGUAGGCGAUGGAUAACAGGUUGAUAUUCCUGUACCACCUAUAAUCGUUUUAAUCGAUGGGGGGACGCAGUAGGAUAGGCGAAGCGUGCGAUUGGAUUGCACGUCUAAGCAGUAAGGCUGAGUAUUAGGCAAAUCCGGUACUCAUUAAGGCUGAGCUGUGAUGGGGAGAAGACAUUGUGUCUUCGAGUCGUUGAUUUCACACUGCCGAGAAAAGCCUCUAGAUAGAAAAUAGGUGCCCGUACCGCAAACCGACACAGGUAGUCAAGAUGAGAAUUCUAAGGUGAGCGAGCGAACUCUCGUUAAGGAACUCGGCAAAAUGACCCCGUAACUUCGGGAGAAGGGGUGCUCUUUAGGGUUAACGCCCAGAAGAGCCGCAGUGAAUAGGCCCAAGCGACUGUUUAUCAAAAACACAGGUCUCUGCUAAACCGUAAGGUGAUGUAUAGGGG